rnacentral:rRNA from 1 species
CAGUCGCCGCGGUAAUACAGAGGAUGCAAGCGUUGUCCGGAAUUAUUGGGCGUAAAGGGCUCGCAGGCGGUUUCUUAAGUCUGAUGUGAAAGCCCCCGGCUCAACCGGGGAGGGUCAUUGGAAACUGGGAAACUUGAGUGCAGAAGAGGAGAGUGGAAUUCCACGUGUAGCGGUGAAAUGCGUAGAGAUGUGGAGGAACACCAGUGGCGAAGGCGACUCUCUGGUCCGUAACUGAUGCUGAGGAGCGAAAGCGUGGGGAGCGAACAGGAUUAGAUACCCGCGUAGUCCCUGUCUCUUAUAC